UACGUAGGGUGCAGGCGUUAAUCGGAAUUACUGGGCGUAAAGCGUGCUCAGGCGGUUUCUUAAGUCAGAUGUGAAAGCCCCGGGCUUAACCUGGGAACUGCGUUUGAAACUGGGAGACUUGAGUGUGGGAGAGGGGGGUGGAAUUCCACGUGUAGCAGUGAAAUGCGUAGAGAUGUGGAGGAACACCAGUGGCGAAGGCGACUCUUUGGCCUGUAACUGACGCUGAGGCGCGAAAGCGUGGGGAGCAAACAGG
rnacentral:rRNA from 1 species